rnacentral:lncRNA from 1 species
ACCAAUAAGAUUUGAAUUCCGAAAGAGACUAACUUUAUUAUCCCCAAAUGUACAUUUAUAACUGGAUAUGUCCAAUUGGGGAACCGAAAUUAAGUUCCGUCUAAAAGAUGGUACAAUAAAAGUCUCAUUCAAAUCUAAAUGAAAACCGGUCUUAAACAACAGUCUAAAUUUGCCAAUAGCUUCAACUGGCACCUUCUUGC